UCAUAGAAUUUCUUUAAAUUCAUGAUGUCGUAGGGGAAAAUAAUGAUAUUACCUUACUAUGAGUGUCGUCCAAAUCUGGUGCCAGAAGACUCGGUAAGACCAGAGACGCAAACGUUAAUCAUCCUAAACAGGCGUAAAGGGUUUGUAGGCAGCUCCCAUAAGAUUAACUAUUUAGUUAAUUUGAUUGAGAGCUAGAAUCAAAAAGAGGUUAUAGUGUAUAACGCCUAGAGGAGGGCUGAUAUCCUUAGAUCCUAGGCAGAAUACUCAAGGCGAAGGCCACUCUCCACUAAUGAUUGACGCUGAGAAACGAAGGUUAGGGUAGGAAAUAGGAUUAGAUACCCCGGUACUCCUUUCUGUAAACGAUGAAUGGUAGUCAUUAGUAUCAAUUAAAAUUACUAGAGACGAAGUUAACACAGUAACCAUUCCGCCUUGUGAGUACUACUGCAAAGUAGAAAACAAAAAAAUUAGUCGGUCUCGAAGCAAACGGAGUGAAGCAUGUUAUUUA
rnacentral:rRNA from 1 species